rnacentral:rRNA from 1 species
GACGAACGCUGGCGGCGUGCUUAACACAUGCAAGUCGAACGGAAAGGCCCUGCUUUUGUGGGGUGCUCGAGUGGCGAACGGGUGAGUAACACGUGAGUAACCUGCCCUUGACUUUGGGAUAACUUCAGGAAACUGGGGCUAAUCCCGGAUAGGAGCUCCUGCUGCAUGGUGGGGGUUGGAAAGUUUCGGCGGUUGGGGAUGGACUCGCGGCUUAUCAGCUUGUUGGUGGGGUAGUGGCUUGCCAAGCCUUUGACUGGUAACCCGCCUGUGAGGGUGACCGGCGACCAUGGGCCUGAGGGACGGACCAGACGGCAACGGGAGGCAGCAGGGGGAAAUAUGGCACAACGGGCGGAAGCCUGAUGCAGCAACGCCGCGUUCGGGAAGACGGCCUGCGGGUAAUAAACCGCUGCCGCCUGAGACGAAGCGUGAGUGACGGUAAUGAGUAAAGAAGCACCGGCUAACUACGUG